rnacentral:rRNA from 1 species
GACGAACGCUGGCGGCGUGCUUAACACAUGCAAGUCGAACGGAAAGGCCCUGCUUUUGCGGGGUGCUCGAUUGGCGAACGGGGGAGUAACACGUGAGUAACCUGUCCUUGACUUUGGGAUAACUUCAGGAAACUGGGGCGCAUAUCGGAUAGGAGCUCCUGCUGCGUGGGGGGGGUUGGUAAGUUUCGGCGGUAGUGGAUGGACUCGCGGCUUAUCAGCUUGUUGGUGGGGUAGGUGAUUACCAAGGCUUCGACGGGUAGCCGGCCUGAGAGGGUGGACGGCGACCUGGGUACUAAGAGACGGCGCAGAAGCGUACGGUACGCAAUGGGCGGGAGUCUGGCAGAACAGGGGGACGCGUGAUAUGGAAGCGCUGCGUGCGUAAUGCCGGCUUUCGGGUUGUGAACAGAUUUCGCCGGUAAUGAAGCGUGCGUGACGGUAAUGGGUAAGGAAGCACCGGCUAACUACGUG